UACGAGGGGGGCAAGCGUUGUUCGGAAUUAUUGGGCGUAAAGGGCGCGUAGGCGGUGCGGUAAGUCACCUGUGAAAUCCCCUGGCUCAACUGGGAGCUUGCAGGCGAAACUGCCGUGCUGGAGUGUGGGAGAGGUGCGUGGAAUUCCUGGUGUAGCGGUGAAAUGCGUAGAUAUCAGGAGGAACACCUGUGGCGAAAAGCGGCGCACUGGACCACAACUGACGCUGAGGCGCGAAAGCUAGGGGAGCAAACAGG
rnacentral:rRNA from 1 species